UUUUUUUCUUUUGUAGAUGUUUGUUUACCUUUUCUUUUUAUUUGUCUAAAAAUGCUUCUUUUUUUAUACUGAAACAAUUUCUUACUGUAGAAAUUGCAUUAGUAUGUAAGGAAUUAAUAUUUUACAUUUAUAGUAGCAUGACUAAAUUUACUGAAUGUGUUAGCCAUAUAUUAUACGUUACGCAUAUAGCAUUAAAUAAAUAACCAAAUUACUCGUUGCUCGGAUUGGAUAAAUUUGAGAAUAAAAAAAUUUAAAAUAGCAUUAGUAAUACUUUUGAAAAUAGAAUACCUGCUCCUUAAAUAGUAAAAAUAAAAUACAUGUUCCUUGCCUUAGUAGAUCAAAAUGUAGUCCAAAUACUUUUGUAAUAAAUAGGAUAUGUGUGGUAUGAUGGAUAAGGAAAAUUAAUUGUGGGAUAAAUUUUUAGUACCUUUAAUGUUUUGAUUUGUUAGACAACUUCUAUCAGAAUUUAUAAUUAGAUAGCGAUAAGUUAUUCAUGUCUUUGGGUGGAGGAAUAAUUUUAGGAUAAAAUAAUAAAAAUACGUCCCUCAAAACCUUUUUAUACAUCACUAAUAUAACAAAGCUAAAUAAAGUGGAAACUAUUUUCGUAAACAAAUAAUUUAUUUUUAAAAUUUAUGCAAUGCAUGUUAUUUUAAUCACCUAAAUUCAGUAAUUCACAACCUAUUUAUCAUAUCCUCUAAAAUUUUCUAUCAUUUGAAAUUACUAAAAGUCCCUAUUUUCCUCCUCUCUCUCUCUUCUAUUUUUGGAUACAUCACUCUUACAAUAUGUAUCGGGAUAUGAUGUAUUGGGACAAGUGUGUUUUGUAUCAAUAAAGAUAAUGUAUCGAGACGCGAUCUAUCGAGACGUUAUGUGAUGUAUUCAUAAUCCUUAAAUUUCAAGAGAUUGUAAUUCGGAAAAAAAAAUAAGAAUAAGAUGUUAUUAGCUUUUAACAUUAUGAGAUUUGUGUAAUUUUUACUUUUAUUAAUACAAUAAAGCAAACAAUUAAUCAAAGAUUAUAUUCAAAUAGUUAAUCUGCAUAUAACUAAUUUCAAUAUAAUUAAUUUCAUAACUUUUCUUCAAACUAGACACCCCACGGAAUAAUAUUUUUUUCGUUGUGUUAAAUAAUUGUUGGUAUUUUCUCAUCUACUUCUACCUGGCUAAUGCAUGGCCAUAGUAAAAUUGAAGGCUCUUCAUUAAUAAAGGUAACCUCUUUUAAAAAGUCUACUCAGCAAUGAAUAGACAAAGCUAAAAAGGCAAAAAGAAAAAGAAAAGAAAAGAAGAACCAAAAGUCAAUGGCAAUAACACUUUUUACCAAGUUAAUUUAAAGGGAAAAAGGAUAAAUAUACUCUUGAACUAUCGUAAAUGGUAUGCAAAUAUUCUCCGUCAUACUUUUGGGACAUUGGUGUCCCUGUCAUCCAAAAACUAGAGCAUAUAUACUCUUAUACUAACGGACAUACACGUGUCAUAAUCUUAUUCAUCGAUCCAACAUUUAUUGACGGAUAAGAUUGUGCCACGUGUCCCUAUUUAGUCUUCCGUUAGUGUGAAGGGCAUAUAUGCUCUAGUUUUUGGACAACAAGGGCACCAAUGUCCCAAAAAUAUGCCAGAGGGUAUUUGUAUACCAUUUACGAUAAUUAGGGGAUAUAUUUCUCUUUUUUCCCUUUAAAUUAACUUGGUAAAAAGUGUUAUUGCCAUUGACUUUUGGUUCUUCUUUAUUAGGAGACAUUGAAAUAAGGGGUUGGUUUUCCUAGAGAAGCAUACAUUACAUUAAAAAAAAAAAGAUUUUAGUAGCAAUUAAUUAACGGGAAUAACUCAAUUAUCGCUAAAUAUAUAUUUUUAGCGGCAAUUAGUACUCUUUGUAUAUGUUCCUAAAGCCUUUAGCGACAUUGUAUCUAAUGACAUUUAACUAAUGUCGAUAAAGACUUAACAUUUUUUAUUAAUGUGUGUUUAUUAUCGCUAAAAGUUAUUUUUGUUGUAGUGGUAUAAAAUAGGAAGCAAAACACUUUGAUUGUAAUUGGAAUUUAACUUUAUUUAUUUAUUUUAUUCUUUCUGACAUGCAUAUAUAUUCAAGUUCAAAAUUAAACGGUGGAGGCUCUUUUUUUAUAUUAUAAUGAAUACACUUUUGAUUUAACAUAACAAUAUAUAUAAUUCAAUUUGACUUUUUUGACAAAAUCCAAGAAGAAAUUUAGGAAAUAUUAAGUGUCAUGUUUUUCAAUCUAUAGAACUACAGACACCUAAACCUGACCCACUAUUCCUAUUCGCACUGUUUGGUAUAAAUUAAUUUUAGUUUUUUUUUAAUCGGGAAAAUGGGAAGGAGAUUAAAAGACAUGAAAUCGACUUAUGAAAAUUAAAAUAAGUCAAUUAAGAUACUAAGAUUUUUUUUCUAUAUUAUUGGUUAUUUGUUAAAAUUUAUUUGUAAAAUCAUUGAAACUUUAACUUUUGAUUAUUUUCUUAGUAGUAAAAUUAUAAAUUGAACAUACAUGAGAUGUCACUCUACAGAUCCAUAAAAUUUACGCAUUGUACCGUGCCUUAAGACUUAUGUCUCACCUGUGCUACAUAAAACGUCACACCUUAUAUACCGCCCCACCUUUUAAAACACGGUUGGUACCUUAUGCAAGUGUAAUUUAUAGAUCACUCACACAUAUUGGGGUAGAAUUAAAAAGUCAUGGAAUCAUCUGCACCGAUUAUGUAUUCAUACACUAUAUUUUUUUUAUUUCGUCAUGUUUCAUAUGCAUAUGUGUAUACAUAGUGAAUUAUUUAUAUACGCAAAAUUUAUAAUCACCGUAUUUCAUAUGCAUACGUAUAAGCAUAGUGAAUUACUUAUAUACGCAAUUUUAUAUAUAUAUAUAUAUAGGGCUUUCAUCAAUUAAUAGAGUAAUUAAUUUUUCUUCAAAGCUCAUAUCAAGAGCAUGAACUCGUGUACAUUGACAAAUCUACCUUAGGGCUUAGGCUAAGGGUGGUUACGUGACUCCGUUCAUUGAAAUUUUCUUACUACUACUUAAGUCUACUUUUAAUUGUCAUAAUUUCCUUAUUUAUAAUCAAACGAUAAUAACUAUGUACCCGAGGAGACUCAAACUAGAAUCUUUGAUUAAAAAUGAAGAAGUACUUUGACUAAUAUUUUACGAUGUAUUUUUUUCAUGAGAUGCAAAAAAUUGGAAUUUAUAGUAUUUUUUGUAUAGUUUCUGAAUAUCUAUUUUUAUUUAAAAAAAUAUCAAAUUGAUGUAAUUUAAUUUAACUUUGAAAAUUAGUCAAAUUGACUUUCAAAAGCGCAACAUGACAAUUAAAAGUGGACAGAUGGAGUAAAAUGUACAAUAUGCAAAAAAAAAAAAAGGUAGUAAAUUAUAUAAAAUCAUAACACGUUAUCAAUCUGCGCUAUUGUUAUAUUUUUAUGUAUAAAUAGAAGAUGUUGAACUCUUUUCGAUUAUUUUAUAUAUUUACUUAUUCAUAUAUUUUGAACUUUCUUAGUGAAAAUUGGAACUCCGCAUAGUAAUGUGGUUAAAGAGGUGAAUUGAAGGUUGCGAUUAGGCUUUUGACUUUGCAAACAAUAAUUGAGGAGAAAGAAGAAAAUUGAAGGGGAAAAAAAGGUGGAAAAUAUAGUAAGAAGGUGGUGGGCGUGACAGUGAACAGAACAAAAUAUAAGAGGUAACAAGAAAAAUGCCUUUUAUCUAAACUUAAAAGAAGAGGCAUGCUUUGCCUUUCAUCAUCAUUCAUGAAAAUUGAUAAGACAUUUAUGUUUAAAACCGGCAAAAAAUUAAUAAAAUAAUGUCUUUUUUAAAAUUUAUUUUGGAUAUGUUUGUUUUUUCCCUGUUGAAACUAUGUUAUACAUGUUUGGCCAUCUAAAGUAAAUUACCAAGGAUUCCUUAGUAAAAUGAUUACUAUAGUAUAUUUUAUAACAUAGGAAAGCGAAUAAUUCAAAGUGGAUUAUUCUUAAAUACCAUACACAAAGUGGAUACCAUUCUAUGUUUGUGGCGAUGAUACAAAUUUUAUGUGAUGCGAAUCAGAAUUUAAUGUAAGUUGUGAUUUUUAUCAUAAUGAUGAAUUUGAGAUUAUGAUUUGAUUAAGUUGAAGUGUUGAACUAUCGAUAUAUGUAAUGUACUUUACUCGUUUAUAGUUAAUCAUGUUUUACCACAUGCAACUUGCCUCUUGCAAUAUUCUUACAGUAGACAAAGAUAAUUACUUCAACCUAAGUACUAGGAGUAUUAUUAGUAUUAAAUUGGCUGAUAAACCUGACAUUUAGAGACAUUUCAGCAUUUUGAGACAAACUCGUGACCAACCUAAUCAUUUUUAGUUACGACUUACGAGGAUCGAAAUAAAAUAUAGAGCACAACUAGCUUGUUUCUCCUUAUUUUUGAAAUUACACUAAGUAUAUUUGUAAUAGUUAUUUUUGUUGAAGAAGAAGGAAGCUGACGAUUGGAACAUAUCAAAGAACAAGUCCAACGAAGCUGACUGACGUGUCUGCAGCAAGUGUUGAUGAAGAAGCAAGCUGACGAUUGGAACAUGUCAAAGGAACAGGUUCAACGAAGCUGACUGACGAGUUUACAACACUGCUCUAGAAUUAGAGUCGCACUAGGAUUAGACUACUUAUAUUAAUUAGGAUUAUAUUACGACUAGAAUUAUAUUAUGAUUAGGAUUGUAUUACGACUAGAAUUAUAUUAUGAUUAGGAUUAUAUUACGACUAUAAUUAUAUUAUGAUUAGGAUUAUAUUACGACUAGAAUUAUAUUAUGAUUAGGAUUAUAUUACGACUAGAAUUAUAUUAUGAUUAUGAUUAUAUUACGACUAGGAUUAGAUUAUAUAUAAUUGUAUUAUUAUUAUUAUAGUAGUAGUAAUAGGUAUUGUAGUAGGACUCUAAGUAUAACUAUACUUAGAGUCCUACUACAAUACUACUAUAUAGUAAUAAUAAUAAUGCAAAUAUAAAUAAUCUAAUCCUAGUUGUACUAAAAUCAUAAUCAUAAUCUAAUCCUAGUCGUAAUAUUAAUUUCCUUUGACAUGUUCCAAUCGUCAGCUUCCUUCUUCAUCAACACUUGCUGCAGACACGUCAGUCAGCAUCGUUGGACCUGUUCCUUGACAUGUUCCAAUCGUCAGCUUCCUUCUUCUUCAACAAUUAUUAUUAUUAUAGUAGUAAUAGGUAUUGUAGUAAGACUCUAAGUAUAGUUAACUUAGGACUUUACAUUUUUCUACAUGGUAUCAGAGCAUAAAAGCUCUUCCGCUCUCUGAGUAUUGAUCAAAAAAAAGAAAAAAAGAAAACACACGUUGCAAUGGCCCCUUCUACCGAAACCAUGUCAACCUCCCCACUUCACCAAAUCAUUGUCGCUUGCUCCAUUAAACUUAAGCCAACAAACUACACACAAAUAUCCCAAUUGAUUCACGUGAUGAAAACAAACAUAUCUCAUCACAGAGAAUGAACCAAGUAAAAACAGUUGUUCCACUGGACAAACUGCUGGGAAAGUUAUAGAGGUCGAGAAGGAUGCAAAAGAAAGUAACACCAUUGCUGAUUGGAAGGAGAAAUAUGUGUUACUAAGGAGUUGGAUCUCAAGCACCUUGACCGAAAAAAGCAUGCACCUAAUUGUGGGCUGCUCAAUUGCCAAGGAGAUGUGGGAAUGCUUGAAAAAAGUUUAUAUUCAAGCAACAAAAGUAAUUUAUUUUGCUAGAGAUUUAGGUCUCAAAUACAAGACGUUUAGGAUAAUCACAUUAGGUAAGACACUAUAUUCCACCCUUAAUCAAUUUAUUUAUGCUCUCACGAGUUUUGAUAUAAGGGAAGAUGAAGAAGAGGUGUCACAACAAAGCCAUCACAUGGUAUUCUCUGCCUUUUUGAGCAGGGGAAGAGGAAACAACAACAUCAACUCCAGAGAAAUAGGUUUCAAGCCUGCUGGACAGGGAACAAGUUCUCAGAACAGUCAAUAUGGACCAGGUUCUCUGAACAAUAAAAGUUCUCAAAGUGAAAAUAAGGAGAGGAAUAAUAUUAAGUCAUGUCAAAUCUGUGGUAGGAAUAAUCAUACUGCUCUUAAGUGUUUUUAUUGGUGGAACUACUCGUAUCAAUCUGCAGAUGAACUAUCACAAGCAACGACUAGCCAUCACAUUUAUACCGAAGCAUUGACAAAACAAUUUUUUGCUGGGUAUUCAAAGUUUUUUUUUUGCUGCGUAUUCGAAUCAAGCUAGGAGUAACCGUUCCUCUAUUCACUAGCUUGAGGGGAAGUGUUGAAGAAGAAGGAAGUUGACGAUGGGAACAUGUCAAAGGAACAAAUCCAACGAAACUAACUGACGUGUCUGCAGCAAGUGUUGAUGAAGAAGGAAGCUGACGAUUGGAACAUGUCAAAGGAACAGGUCCAUCGAAGCUGAUUGACGAGUUUACAGCACUGCUCUAGAAUUAGAGUCGCACUAGAAUUAGACUACUUAUAUUAAUUAGGAUUAUAUUACGACUAGAAUUAUAUUAUGAUUAGGAUUAUAUUACGACUAGAAUUAUAUUAUGAUUAGGAUUAUAUUACGACUAGAAUUAUAUUAUGAUUAGGAUUAUAUUACGACUAGAAUUAUAUUAUGAUUAGGAUUAUAUUACGACUAGAAUUAUAUUAUGAUUAGGAUUAUAUUACGACUAGAAUUAUAUUAUGAUUAGGAUUAUAUUACGACUAGGAUUAGAUUAUUUAUAAUUGCAUUAUUAUUAUUUUUAUAGUAGUAAUAGGUAUUGUAGUAGGACUCUAAGUAUAGUUAACUUAGGAUGUUACAAUUUUCUCCCUAUAUAAGGAGGUUGUAACUCAACAUUAUUUUCAUCAAUAUAAUCCUUGAUUUCUCCCUAUAUGUCGGUGAAUUAAUUGUAACAAAGAAUGAUUAGAGUUCAUAUAAAGAUGGCAAAUAUGAUAAAUUCAACUUGCUAUUAUAAUUUCAAUAUGUAGUUUCUUUCACCAUCAUGAUGUACAAUGCAUCCAUUAAUUAUUAUGAUUUAUGACAAUUAUAAUGAAAUAAAUUACACAUACACUUAACUAUAAAGUUUAUUUACCAAAUUAUGAAGAUUUAUUAUAUGAAAAUAGAUAAUAGUUGUCCUUGGUAGCUGGCUAGCACUUUCCAGGUUUCUGUCAAUUUUGUCAUCUGCGCAACAAUACCACACAAACAAGUCUAAAGUAAAAUUUCCAAAAUUAAGUGGAGACAUUGUAUAUUUAGGUCAACAAAAAAAUAAAUACAAUUAAUAAUUAGAAAAAUUUACGUAAAUCUCACUAGUUUAAGAGCUAAUUACUCAUAUACACUCUACUUUUGCAAUAGUAUUACGUAUCUUAAUAGAUUUUGGUACAUUUAGAUACAUCCAUAUACAUGUAUUUUAGAAUACAUGAGAUAAAAAUCAUUUAUAAUUUAUUUUAGAUAUAUUGUAUCCAAGUGAAUUCGCUUGUAUAUGAGAUUAUAUUGUCUACUUUUGAGUUUUACCUUAUAUAUAUUCUUUGUCUUUUCCUGUUUAGCCAUUUUGCUGAAUCAGCAAAAUUGUCUACAAGAUUAAAUUCACAUACUUUUACUUCUCUUUCAACUACUUGUUGAUCUCUAUCUAAUCGCUUCGUUCUUUUUUGCGUGUAUCUAACAUUUUCUUAGUCCAUUUUCACUCCCCUUGUAUGUUUGAUUGGCACAGUACACUUUUAAAAUUAAUAGAUAGAAUGAUAAUUUAACUACAAUGUGCACUUUUUCGUCAUUAUUUUCAGAAUGAAUCGUUGUUCACAUCAAUUGUCAGUUUGCACAUAAGUUUUUCAAUGUCCAACUACAAAAGCUGCUAUUUAGAAUUCCCCAUCAAAAAACUGGUGCACUGAUUAUCUCAUCAUAUGCUCAAAAAGAACCUCCAAGAUUUGCUCUUCCUAUGGAAGGAACUAAGAAACGAAAAUUGGGACCAUCCACUCCGACGAAUCAAAAGUAAUAAGCACUCCACAAUUUAAUAUAGCAUAAUCUCUAACUUAUUUAUUCCUUUACAAUAUACAACUUCGCCAUAUAGGUAUAAGUAAAAAAGGGUUGAGUACAACGAAGAAAAAUCACGUGAUUUGUCAUGUAUAGCUGAAUUUUGAUUGCCUAUACCAUCAUCAAAGAAUGAGCUACCUCAACUAGUGGCGGCUCAACCUAAUUAGUGGCCUAAAGCCAAAUAUAAAUCGGAGGACUAGUUUUUUUUUUUUUUUUUUUGAAAUCCAAAUUAUUUUAUUUUUUUAAUGAAAAUGCUUUAUUUUUUCUAUGGUCUUAUACUAUAUAUAUAUCAAAAUAUUUUAUAAUCUUGUGAUCUUAAACAUGUCAUGUAGAAGUUAAAUUUAAAAAUUGACCAAAAAAAAAACAUUCUUUAAUGUUUCAAAACAAACUAAAAGAAACACAAAAUAUUAUUUAUUUUUUUGUUAAAAAAUAAAUAUAAUAAUUCUAUUAUUACUAAAAAAAUGAGGCCCUCAAAUUUUUGGACCUAAGACGGAUGCCUCAGUUCUAAAGGUAUCGAGCCGCCCCUAACCUCAACAAAGUUUCUCCUUUUUGAGCGCAUAUUAACAACCUACAUCAACUACUAGUUAUUUUAUAAUUUUUGUGAACAUAACGGUAAAAGUGCGGUGGCCACUACUUUGCCUGCUCAAAAUGUUUGCUCCAACUAAGCGUGCAUAUACUAAGGGGUCGUUUGGUGUGAGGGAUAAUACCAAAUAGUCCUGGGAUUAAAUUAUAGUACCGCUUAUUUUGUUGUUUGGUUGGCAAGUUCGGGAUAACUUAUCCCGGGAUUAAUAAUUAGUACCGGGAUAAGUUAUCCCUAACCUAGGGUGGUAUAGUAAUCCCGGGAUAACUUAUCCCGGGAUAAAUAGGUAAAUGACAAAAAUGUCUCUUUCAACCCUUUUGUUAUAUCACUUUUUACAUUAAUGAAGGGCAUUUUUGUAAACAAAUAAAUUGUUCUUAAAAUUUAUUAUUUUGAAUACAACAAACCAAACACUCAAUAAAAAAUAAUCCCAACACAACUUAUCCCAUCAUAACUAAUCCCAACAUAACUUAUCCCAACAUAACUUAUCCCAUCAUAACUCAUUUUCAAACCAAACGACCCCUAAGUGUAUAUAUAUAUAUAUACACACCCCUUCCCUUCGGCCCGUGCUGACAUGGGAUUCUCUUCUAGUUACCAUCACUAUUCACCAACAGUUAACAUCUAAAUAUCUUCAGAGAAAAAAUUGUCGAAUAUGAGACCAAGUAAUAUUAUAACAAGCUCAAAACAGAGCCUUGACAAUGUGCGCCUUACAUCAGGAUCGGAAUAUCUAACCUACCAAAACAAAACCUCAUGGCCCCUGACGAACAUAUCUAAUAACCAAUCAAUAAUACAAGGAAGCAGCAAAUACAUCCUCAAACAACAAAGACAAAAAGUCCAAAUAGAGAAAAUUUAAGGACUAGGAAUAUGGAAAGGUGCAACAGUGAAACUGAUCUGCUCUGAGCUAUGCCAUCUAUUCAAAUGCUUCAUCAUCGUCAUCUGGAAGUGGCUGAUUAAGGGCUUGUUGAAGCUCCUGUUCAUGCCUGAAUAAACAGUGUGGUUAAAAUUAAAAAUCGUACAACGAAAAAACAAAAUGUUAAGCACAAGGAGCCUAGCACAUCACAGAGCCAAGCGCUAUAGGGUCGAUUUGCAUGAUCUAAACCUAACAGGAACCUAAUACUUGUUGGUAUUCUUUAAGAUACGAGGGUUGCUCAUGAUCAAAAUCAUCAGUUCUAACUCUGAUAUACAUAUUAAGAUGCAAUGAACAUUGUCCAACUCUGUUAUACAUAUAAAACAGUGAAUAUCUGAUAUUUUCACAGACUUGCUAACAGUUAUCAAUUCUAUGGAAUACACAUAUAAAACUCUUACAAUGCCUGUGCAGCUAAGUCAAUUUGUACUUCUGGGGGAGCAAGUGCAGGUGAUUCCACAAAGUGAAGAUUACCAUCCCUACAAGUAGAACAAGAAAUUAGGUUCACAUCAACAGUACAUAUGAAUAGAACAGACAAGAUAUAGAUUUAUAUUUAUGAACAUUAAUUACCCAGCAAGCUUUCUAGCAAGGUACAGAAAAGGCUUCUCAAAGUUGUAGUUACUCUUUGCUGAGAUCUCAUAGUAUUGCAAAUUUUUCUUCCUGUGGAAGGUAACUUGCUUUGCCUUAACCUGCCUGUUCUUCACAUCAACUUUGUUUCCACAGAGAACAAUGGGGAUGUUUUCACAAACCCUGGAAGAAGCAAUUGAAUAGCAUUUCAGAUUUCAAUUGCAUAUCAUCAAUUAUAAGUAAGAGUAUAAUGCUGGCAGCCUAUGAAGAGUUCCUCACCGGCAAAGAUCUCUAUGCCAAGUAGGAACAUUCUUGUAGGUCAGACGGGCUGUAACAUCGAACAUGAUAAUUGCACAUUGCCCAUGAAUGCUGGACAAUUGACAUAGAGAAAUAUGAGAAUCAAAAAUACAGUCACCAAAAGCUUCAAGCAAGACAAUUAAUGUCAAGGCAGUCAUACAAGUAACAAAUGUUUGAUGUAAAAAAGGAAUAGCAGGGUAAAUAUGGUAUUCUGAGCUCAAAAGAGACGCGGAUGUGAGCACAAUUACUGUCACCUCAGAUAUGAUUAACCACAUUGUAGAAAUACCUAUAGUGGCAUUUGAUGUAGAACACCACACGUUAUCAAUUAUUCUUCACAAACAAACCAGCAUUCCUUAAUUCCAAUAUUUCAGCUUUUGGGAAACAUGAAACUUCACCCAUUUAACUUGACAGUAAAAGUUUUAAUCAUAAAAUAACAUCUAUCGAGCAGCAGAGCCUUGCAUAAACUAAAGGUUUUAACUGCCUACAAUCACUUACUAGUAACCAUCUCUGAGACCUCCAAACUUCUCUUGUCCGGCUGUAUCCCAGCAAUAAAAGCGAAUUUUCCCACAAUUUGUGAAGAAGUCUAGUGGAUGAACCUCCACACCAAUAGUGGCUGUAUGAAAACAAAACUUAAUAAAUAAUUUACUCACGAGAAACCAACAUAACAAGAAACAGAGCGAGAGCCUAUUGAAAAGGAUAACGACCCAGAUUAUCAGAAGACUCUAUCUGUCAGUACAGGAAAUAAAAAACUUACGUUCGUAUUUUUUCUCAAAUUCACCAGUGAGAUGCCUUUUGACAAAAGUCGUCUUCCCUGGAAAUCCAAUUACAACAGGAACCAUUAGGGUACUCUAACAAAAGGAAGCAAGCCACUAAUCUCAAUGAAACAUUCACUUCAAUUUACAAAGAUCAGAUUAUCUACGAUAAAUAGCAUUUAUCCCAUAAAUUCAGUGUAUACUCAUACAUUAUCAAUUAACUAUAUUGAAAUAACUUCCAUAUUUAAAAACUAUUCUGAAUCAAAAUUUCACACAAGUCAGUAAUGUUUUUCAAAUGUUUGAAGAAAUCAAAACAAAAUAUCUGUUUGACAUCAAAAUAUUGUUACUGAUAUUCUCUUCGAAACAAACGAUACUAGAAACAAAUCUCAGAUAAACAUAGAAACAUACCAGUUCCUCCAUCCCCCACAAUAACAAGCUUGAAGCUUGGAUAAUCUACAGUUUGUUGGUUUGGUAAAGCCUGUAAUAAUAAAUUCACAAACAUCAACACAAGAAAUCAGCCAAAACAGUUACAAUUCAACACUGGUCACAUAUCAAACUUCAUAAACACAUCACAAUCAAAGUUAAAAAUCAACUUCCUAGAAGAACAAAAAGGAGCAAUUGGACAACAAAAAAAUCAACAAAGUGUAUAAGCACCUCAAACUGAAACCUGUGGGGGAUUUUGAUGUCUCAAAAAAGAAGAUAAAACAGAUUGAAGACACAGAAGAUGGCGUACAUACAUCUUUAAAGCUUUACGUCUUGGUCAUAUUUGCUAUUUAUAAAAAAAUUCUUUCUUAUAGAAAGAAUGAAUAAUUUCUAAAUUAAUUAUUCGUAUGUAGAUUUUCAACAAUCAAUUUAUGUUUGUGAACUCCCAUCUUAGAGAAUGAAUCAUUUAACUCUAGUAUAUACCAUCUAAGUUCUCCACAGGCUAUCUCUCAAAAGAAAGAAUAUUUUAACAGCCCUAUUUUAUAAUUUCAAAUGUUUUAAGCCAAAUCCCACCACACGUAUCCAUACCUCAAUCCAUAUGGAUACAAAUCCAACACCCAGAUACGCAUCCAAAGCUUAUACACACAUCUAUCUCAAACUAUUCAGGGUCGAUUAGACACCUUAGAUCAGUUAUCAUUCCAAAUACAACAAAAAAUAACUCACUACAUCUUCAAAAACUCAUCCAACCAAAGCUAAAACCAACUUCUAAAACAAAGAAAAGGAACAACUUGACCAAACAAAGCCUAUAAACACCUCAAUCUCAUCAUCCCAAUACUGAUACACAAUUUGCAGCUAUAAAAGUUCUCCUGUACAUAACAACACUUCCCAUUCCAAUUAUGAUAAUCUACCAGCCGAGAAGAAUAAACUCAUCUAAAUCCUCAAAUACUCAUCCAAAUCAAAGUUAAUACAAAAAAAUAAAUCCAGCGAAUCGUAUAAACAUCUCAAUAAUCAUCUAAUUAUCAUUCCAAUUCUCGAAAAAAAAUCAACUAAUUAUAUGAAAAAUAAACGAGAUUUACUCACCAUUGUCGAAAGUAUGAGAAGAAAAUUCCUUCAAGAGAGAGAGCGGCAGAGCUUUUUUGUGUGUGUGAGGAAUGAAAAGCGAAACGGAAGUAGGGUUUAUAAAUUGGGGAAUUCGCUUAAACUUAACGCCAGUCUUUUUUUUUAUAUUCUAUUUUUGAAUUUCAAAUUUUUGUGUGUGUGUUAGAAACAUAAUAAACUAAUGUUUUUUAAAAAAAUAAAUAAAUAAAUUCUUUAUGUUUGUUUUUAACUUUUGUAAGUUUUAAGCUAAUAUAUUUUGUAAUUGGGUCCACUAGGAAUGUAUUAUUGCGUUUAGUCACCCUUGUUGUAUUACAAAUUACACAAAACUUUGACCGUUUGGCAGAGUAAUAGCGGAUUUAGGAUUUUCAUUCGGGAGUUUGAAACAUAUAUAUGAAGUAAAAGCACAAAAAUUAUGAGAUAACUAAAAACGUGGGGCGGUGAAUGGCAAUACUCAUUUUAAUCCACUUAAUUUUAACUCACAUUGUCAUGUCCCGUUUAACAUUUAUUACUAUUUCGAGUCCUUUCUAAAAUUUAUUGUGCUUUUUUUGCCUUCCCCUUCCUCUUUGCAGUGUUCAAUUUUUUCUUUCGAAUUAAUAUCCUUUCAAUCAUAUGUUAUCUUUAAAAUAAUAUUUUUCUUCAAAAAUAAUUUUGGAAUCUUGGUCAAGCUCAAGCACCGACAAAACUCUAAUAUUAAUAAAAAAAAUCAAAUUAAUUAAUCAAACACAAAUUAUUAAUAUACAAAAAGUACUUUAAUAAAAAAAAUUCAUAAUAACAAAUUUUAGAAGUUUAAUCAAUCACGCUAUUGAUUUUUUUAUUUUAGCUUUUAACAUAUUUACAGUAGUACCUAUUCUUAUUCCAUAUUUAUAAUAUAUAGAAUUUUACAUAUAAUUUAUGCAAAUAUUAUUUAUGGAAAAAAUAAAAGAAACUAUCGAGCGUUAGAAGCUAUCACGAUCGAAGACAUAACUUUGAACCCGUAGACCACUAAAUUAAGCUUCUCAAUUGUACUGAGGGGGUUCAUUUCUUUGUAUAUAACCAUACAUAUCGAAUUUGACCUUAUAAAUACAAUGUAAUUUUUUCGACGAGGGGAUUUGGAUGGACCCCUACUGCCCACGUAGAUCCGUCCCUGUGGUAGAGUAUCUAAGAAUAAUGCAAAAUAUAAUGUAUUAGUAAUACUUGUAUUGUUAUACUUGCAUUAGUUAUGCUGAGAUUUUUCUUAUGCAAUGUUUGGUUUGGUGUACUAAAAAUAUUAAGCAUUGCAUAAUUUUUUAAAGAAAUGUUUUUUUUAAAAAAAAAUAUUGGAAUGGAUGUGAAAAAAAUUUGAGGGACAAUUGUAUCUUUAACAUUGCUAAUGCAUGCAUUAGAAUUCAUUGCAAUACUAAUGCAUAGAAACCCAUGAUAUUAGUAAUUUACUCUUCAAUAUACAAUAACUAAUACAAGCAUUAGUUAUGCAUAAAUUAGAAAAGCGAACUAAACAAAGUACUAGUAACACAAUAAAGUGGGAAAGAUUAUUAUUUGUAAAUUCAAUUAGUUUUACUUAUUAAACUAACUAAUUGAAUGCCUGAUGUAAAAAGUGGCCUUUUGGCUUCCAUUUUAGUUUCUAGCUAGGUUGAUGUUUUUGUUGCAUCUUAAAUUUCGAUUCCAACAUAUAAAAUUGAGCGAGAAAUGUUUAUUUUGAGUUUUUAUUAGGGGAUAUUUUCGCCAAUCUUAAUUUUAUAAAUUGUCAGCUUUUUGUCUUUUCAAACGAAGUCAGACAUUUUUCUUAUUUUUAAGUGGCAAAAAUUGUAUAACGUUUUCAAAAACGUUUUUUUGGGCGAGUCCUGAGGAAGUUUUGAGGUGGGGCAUACUAAAACGCUCUGGGGUGCAAAUUAAAAACGUACAUUCAUAGGGCAUGAGACGUGAGUCCUAGAAUUUGGGGUGUAAGCUCCUAGCGUAAAACAUAAACCUUGGGCGUAAAAAUCGUACACCUCGGGCCUUUUUUUAAAAAUUAUUAUUAUUUUUGAACUUUUUUUUUUUAUUGAAAUCAUAUUUUUUUAUUUGUGUAAUGAUAUUUCUCAAAUAGUAAUUGUAAUAGUACUUUUUUCUUCAUUAUUGGUUAUUAAUACAUUUCUCAAAUAAAAAUCAUAAUAUUUUUUUUCUAUAUAUUAUAGCCUUAUAGGUUAUUAAUUUAAAUUUAUUUAUAGUAAUUGAAAGUUUAAACUUUUGCUUGUUUUCUUAGUAAUAAAAUUAUAAAAAAGAAUAUACACGAGACCACGUCCGUAGAUUCAUAAAACUUAUGUCUCAUGUCUCGAAGCUUACGUCUCGCUCCAAACUAUAUAAAACAUCUCGCCUCACACCCCAGCCUUCUAAAACACUACUCCAACCCUUUUAGCUUGAUCUAGGCCCAAUACACCGUCCAGUAUUCCAGUUUAAGAAGCUAAGCCCGCUAUGGACAGUUAUGGGCCCAUAAUUGUCAAGAAAAUUACACCGUCAACUCCUUUUAGAAAUAUUCAUUUUUAAAAUAUAUAUUUCAUAUAUUAUUAAUAUUUAAAUAAAAAAAUAUUAUAUGAUAAUUUGGAAUCUAAAUUAAUUUUAAGACUUUAUUUAGGAUUCUUAUUUGGCAUACAAAAAAUAAAAAAAGAUACUUUUAUUGCUUUCUUUGUCCUCACUAUUUUCACCUCGUUCUCUGUCAACAUCAUUGAAGCAAUUUGAGACAAUCAUCAACAGUAACUCUUUACUCAUUUUUUUCAAAAAAAUUUAUACUAAUUAACCUCAUCAGAAAACAAUCCAUAACUUAUUAAAUAUUCUUCGCAUUAUAAAAAAGUGCUUGGAUAGAUGCUUUAGACUGACUAUGUUUUAUCUUUUUAGUUCAUUCCAGCAACAACACAAAUUAAUUGAAAACAAACUUUGAUCAAAUACCAUCAUAUGUACUCAGGGGCGGACCCACAUUGGACAUUUCGGGUGCGCGAGCACCCAUUAAUUUCGUAUCAAACUAUGUAUAUUUAUAUAAAAAAUUGAAAGAAUGUGAGCACCGACUACACAGGUAGUCGUUUGAUUCAAUGGUUAUUUCUGGGUUUUUAAGGAUGUGUAUUGCAUCCGCGUUUGGGUUCGAUUCCCACUCUAAGCAUUUUUUUAAAAGUAUUUUGAAGACCAACUCUUCUAUUCUUAUUUAUUUCAUUUAGAACUUUUAUUUUUCACACCUUGUGUUGAUUGUUCUUUUUACUCUUUCUCUGUUUCCCUUUUGCUAUUUUUUUUUAUUAAAAAAAACGUUAUAAAAAAUAAUAUUUAUUGUAGUUUUAUCAUAUUAAUAUUUUUUGCUAUUGUGGCACUACAAAAAAACACCUAAAUCGUGGGGGUUUCAAAGUGGAGGUUAGCUGCAACCCCCACAAACUACAUUAAAUAACGAGGGUUUGGUAGCUGACGCAAAAUAAAAGUAAACAUCAGGGAUUUAAAAUCCCCAGAAAAAAAUUUAAGUAAAUACCGGGGGUUUAAACACCUGCUAUCUCAUAAUACAAUUUUUAUUUCAAAAUAUAAAAUAUAUAUUUUUAAUUCAUGAAAUAAAAAACACUCAUAGCUUUUGGAAAUACGUAAUUUAAUAAAUAGCUAUUUUUAAUUUAAUAACAAAAUACAAAAUAAACACAACUUUUGAAACUUCACUCCUUCCAAAUUACUCUCUCACUGUCACACUUCUCUCACCGCCACACUUCUCUACAGCGGCACUUCUCUGCCGUCUACAGCGGCACGUCUCCUCACAACUCUGUAAACUUCAGCUACUCACCAGAUUCAAAAUGGGAUAGGUGUUCUAAGGUAAUGUUUUCCACUUCUCACCUCUUUGAAUAAUGAACCUACCUCACAUUUUUGGAUUUUCUCAUCUGAAUCUUCACAAAUUGUACAAAUUACUGGUUGUAUUUACUAGAUAAGUUUAUUUUUUGGUUGUUUGUAUAGAUGCAUGGAGGUAGAAUUAGGUUAAUUUUGUUGUAUUCUUCAUGGAUGAAAAUUUUGAAAUAUCAAAUUUGAGCAUGUAUUUUGUGGUAGAAUUAGGUUUAUUUUGUUAUAAUUUUGGUGAUUCUACAGAUUCUUCGAGACAUUCUGUGUCUACAGAUUUUUUGGGACCACUUUGUCUCAAAUGGUGUCGCUAACAGGUGCCUUGUUUCUUCGUAAAAUUUGGAGUUGUCGUCUCCGUCGAUCCUUGUUUAAGCUGGAGUAAGGUGUAUAUAGUUUCCCUUUUUGUUUGUUAAUUAAUUCUUCUUUAGCUGUUACAUGUGCCCUCAAUCUUCACUUAUCUCUGUAUACUUGUAUUCAUACAUUAUAUUCUUAUUGAUUUGUAUCUUCAUUUUUUUCUUCUAAAUCACUAAUUUAUCAUUCUUCUAAAUUUGCAUGUCUUUGCUUAUUUGUUGUAUCUCUUCAAUCCAAUUGACUAUAUUCCAAGGUAGUUUGCAUUUAUCCACAAGUAUUCUUUGUAAAUAUAUUGAAUAUGGUUGGAUCAUGAUAUGAUCCAAAUGUUUGUUAUUACAAUGCUUGAUAGCUUCUAGGAUAGCCAGUGUCUCAGAUUAUUUUGGCCCUUACCAUAUCUGUAAUUCUGGCCAGGAGAAAGCAUAUCUAAAAGGUCAUAAACAGACUUCCUCUGUAGAAAAACAUCCCAUUUUGGACCAAAGUGUGUCCUACAUUGUUCCUGUAUUGUUUUAUAUAAACAAAUGUAUAAUCUUAUAGAAAAUGUUCCUUUGUUUAAUUUAUCAGGUCCGAUCCCUCUCCAAUAUUUGGAACUGAAAUUAACGAGAGAGCUUCUAGAUCUUCAAGGAUAAAGAAAGUUGAGGUACUCUUUCAUUUGCUUAGAUCACUAUAAUUUCUCAGUGGUUAGGCCUCUAGGGAAAUAGUUGAGGCCUCAAGUUCAUCUGAUGCUUAUGCUUAAAGUCAACUACAGUAGUAAUAAAUAGAGAUAAAUAGACAUUUGCUCUCAGAUACUGAAUGUUCUUGUUUAAUUUAUCAGGUCUGGCCCCUUUUCAAUAUUUGCUUUAUCUGGAACUGGAAUUAACGGGAGAGCUUCUAGAUCUUCAGGGAUAAAGAAAGUUGAGGUACUCUUUCCAUUUCUGCAUAUAAUGUUACAUAAAAAUUGUUAAAUAUGUCUGUAAUCUUAUAAUUUUCUCAUGAAAAUCUUAUAGGUGAUAUUGUCUGCUAAUCUUGUUUUUUUUUAUGGAUAAAUCUUGGAUUAGAAUGCCAAGGACCACAAAAGAAUAUUUGGUUGGCUUGAAUCAGUUCCUAGAAUUUGCAUUUAAAAAUGGAGCUAUAGAAGAUAGAAUAAAAUGUCCGUGUCCUCAAUGUUGUUUUGGCAAAUGGAAGACUAGAGAUAUAGUGUUUGAACAUUUGACUUGCAAGCCAUUUGAUCGCGUCUUUGAUCAAAUCAUAGUGGUAUAAACUCUAUAUUCUGACUACUAUACCUAUAUUCUUUUCUUGGACUUUUAUAUUUGGAUUUAAUAGAUAAGCUAACUAGUGUUUAUUCUUGAAGCCUUGAUUUUUUUCCGAGACAACCGACGAUAAGCUAACUAGUGCUUAUUCUGGAUCCACUGUGUUUUCUAGUGACAUAUCUAUUGAGAUUAGCUUCUUUAUUUCUGGCAAAGUUUUAUGGGCAAGGCAGCACUCAUGGUCUAGAACAUAUUUUCCAGGAUUGCUUCUGGAGCUUAGAAUGUGGAGUGUUGUUUGGUCUGAAUUAGGAAAAAAGAAUGUGGAAAUAUGAGUAUUUGUCUAUAGAACUUUGUGGAGUGUUGUUUGGUCUGGAUUAAUGCAAGAACAAGAUAAAAACUUGUGAUUCUUUUACUAUUAUGUGCAAUAAAGAAGUAGCAAGGUCCAGAACAUAUUUUUGCAUAUUCUUGUAUGUUAGUAUUGACCUAUUUGUUUAUGAUUGGCAUUUGUAUUGACAUUCAUAGUAGAGAAUUUAGUAUUUGUUUACAUACUGUUAUUGACAUACAAUAUGUAAGUAUUUUUUUUAUAAAUCACCAUAAUGGUUGGAUUAGGUUUCAGUCCUAAUCAUUUUAUUGCAUUCAAAAGAGGUUACAAAAGAAGGGUGAGAGCAUUUAUCAUAUUACUUAUUGUGUAUUUUUCUUUGUAGACAGAUGAUGCUAGUGACAGUAGUCGUAGUGACAAUCGUUGAAGUUCCAUGAAUAGUUGCAGGUCAUUUCUUGAGUAUGGAUGCUAGUGAACCCUUUUCAUCAAUAAAAGCAAGAUUAGCGAAUGACAGUUUUUGUAGUGAUUUGAAGUUUCUUGUAAUCGUAAUGGUUGAAGUGAAUGGUAUGUUUCAAUUUAGUUUGUAAAACUAAUAGUACACUUUAUGAUAUAUUUUUUUGUUGAAAUAUUUUGUUAUUUCUUAAUACUAAUAAGCCCUUUUAGGUUUGACUAUGAUGUACAUGUUAAUUAGUCAUUAAUAUUUAAAAUAGAUUUUUUCUAGCAUAAUGCUCUAGAAGGUUACAUGUUCAUAAAUUACAGGGGUUAGAACUCUAGUUAAUCUUAAUGUAAAAUUCAUGAUUUGUGGGGAUUUUGACUCCCAAAGUUCACAAAUUGCAGGGGUUUUGACUCCUAGAUAUUGAAGUGCAGUUUUAUAGAUAUACAUUUGUGGGUUCAAAACCCCCAGUAAUAAGCCCCCGCUAAUGGUAGCAGGGGUUCGUCCAAAACUCCUGGGACUUAAUUGUGGCACACCUAAUUGCAGGAGUUCUCUCAACUGCCACAACACUAAAUUGUGAGGGUUACUGACUGUCAGAACAUGUAAUUUUAACCCCUGCAAUUUAGGCGUUUUUUUGUAGUGUGGUUUAAUUUAAUUGUCCAUUUAAUGGCAAGUUAUAAAUUUGUUUACUUAUAUUUUGUGACGGUAGUCAAGGGAGCACCCACAAUUUGAAAAUCCUGGAUCCGCCACUGUAUGUACUUGAAUUUAAAUAAUACUUAAAGUCUAUAGUACCAAAAUAUUUGAACGUUAUUUCAAAGAAAUAAACCUUAGAUCCGUAAAACGUGUGUUAAAAACUAGAAAUAAAAAGAAAUAUGAUAAAUUUAACUGGCUAUUAUAAUUUCAAUAUGUAAUUUAUUUGAUCAGUACAAUGCAUCUAUUAAUCAUGACAAUUAAUGAGAUAGAUUGCACAUACAUGUAACUACAAAGUUUAUUUCCCA
rnacentral:lncRNA from 1 species